AUUGAAUGAUUGAUAGUAUUGUGGUGUGAACAUGUGCACAAUUUGGCAUCGCUAUUUUGUUUUCGCAUUGUAGUUGUGAUAUUGUCUACAUAAAUUAUUCCUUUCUUCCGUGUUGAUAUUGCUGGCUGUUGUUAGCACAAUGUGAGCACUUAGGGACAGCAAUCAUUGGUUCUCUGUUCUCGGGUUCAAGAACGGAAGGAAUGAUGGUUAGUAAAUUGGUCCAUCUUUAAAGUGGUAUGGGUCUACAUGGAACACUCCUGCUCAUCAUAGCGACCUCUAUUGUUGCAGCGCAGCAGGGCGACUUAAUAGUAACAAGUCAAGUACGCCUAUUUCAAUUUUCAUACACCGGAAUUACGACAUCAGCUGAGUUUAUUUGCGGUGUGAGAAGCAAAGCCCGUAGGAACCUAUCAUCAAUUGUUUUCACGUCUUUAAUCAUGAAAAGGACAGCGAACGUGGCCGUGUCGUUAUCUGGAGAUGAUGUGGUCUCAAAAAAAGAGUCAUCAACACUUGUAGUAUUGGAAAGAUCAAAGUCUAACGGUAAACUCAAGCUGCU
rnacentral:sRNA from 1 species